GAUAGCCGGAAAGCUAAACUCCAUGUUACUUGGCUUAAAGCAACUUUUAACUAAAUGUUGGACAAAAACAAAGAGCAUCAAAAAAGAAAUAAAACGUACCCCAACUGAACUGGAAUUUACAAAAUGGCUGAAGGUGGAUUAGACAUUUCGCAAACUUGUGACGAAUCUGUAUUGUGCUAUGGAG